rnacentral:rRNA from 1 species
GACUCCAUGAAGCUGGAUUCGCUAGUAAUCGCGCAUCAGCCACGGCGCGGUGAAUACGUUCCCGGGCCCUUGUACACACCGCCCGUCAAGCCAUGGAAGCCGGGAGUGCCUGAAGUGCGUGAGCGCAAGCAGCGCCCUAAGGUAAAACCGGUGACUGGGGCUAAGUCGUAACAAGGUAUC